rnacentral:rRNA from 1 species
GAUGAACGCUAGCGGCAGGCCUAAUACAUGCAAGUCGAACGAUACCAGAGAGCUUGCUUUCUGGGAAAGUGGCGCACGGGUGCGUAACGCGUAUGCAACCUACCUUAAUCAGGGGGGAUAGCCUCUCGAAAGAGAGAUUAACACCGCAUAAAAUCACACUUCGGCAUCGAAGAAUGAUCAAAUAUUUAUAGGAUUAAGAUGGGCAUGCGUGACAUUAGCUAGUUGGUAAGGUAACGGCUUACCAAGGCUACGAUGUCUAGGGGAUCUGAGAGGAUGACCCCCCACACUGGUACUGAGACACGGACCAGACUCCUACGGGAGGCAGCAGUAAGGAAUAUUGGUCAAUGGGGGGCAACCCUGAACCAGCCAUGCCGCGUGCAGGAAGACGGCCCUACGGGUUGUAAACUGCUUUUUAUACGGGAAUAAAUCUCGCUACGUGUAGUGAGUUGAAUGUACUGUAAGAUAAGGAU